GAUGAACGCUAGCGGGAGGCUUAACACAUGCAAGUCGAGGGGCAGCAUAGGGUAGCAAUACUCUGAUGGCGACCGGCAAACGGGUGAGUAACGCGUAUGCAACCUACCCUGUACAGGGGGAUAACCCGGAGAAAUUCGGACUAAUAUCCCGUAAUAAUAUCCGGAGGCAUCUUUGGAUAUUUAAAGUUUCGACGGUACGGGAUGGGCAUGCGUAACAUUAGCUGGUUGGUAAGGUAACGGCUUACCAAGGCUAUGAUGUUUAGGGGUCCUGAGAGGGUGGUCCCCCACACUGGGACUGAGAUACGGCCCAGACUCCUACGGGAGGCAGCAGUUGGGAAUCUUAGGCAAUGGACGAAAGUCUGACCUAGCGACGCCGCGUGAGGGAAGAAGGCCUUCGGGUUGUAAAGUUCUUUUAUAUGUGAGCAGUGCUUCUUAUAUUAACAGUAUGGGGAGAGAGAUAUUAGCAUAUAGAAUAAGCAACGGCUAACUCCGUGCCCAGCAGCCGCGGUAAUAC
rnacentral:rRNA from 1 species